rnacentral:rRNA from 1 species
GAUGAACGCUGGCGGCGUGCCUAAUACAUGCAAGUCGAGCGAACAGACGAGGAGCUUGCUCCUCUGACGUUAGCGGCGGACGGGUGAGUAACACGUGGAUAACCUACCUAUAAGACUGGGAUAACUUCGGGAAACCGGAGCUAAUACCGGAUAAUAUAUUGAACCGCAUGGUUCAAUAGUGAAAGACGGUUUUGCUGUCACUUAUAGAUGGAUCCGCGCCGCAUUAGCUAGUUGGUAAGGUAACGGCUUACCAAGGCAACGAUGCGUAGCCGACCUGAGAGGGUGAUCGGCCACACUGGAACUGAGACACGGUCCAGACUCCUACGGGAGGCGGCAGUAGGGAAUCUUCCGCAAUGGGCGAAAACCUGACGGAGCAACGCCGCGUGAGUGAUAAAGGUAUUCGGAUCGUAAAACUCUGUUAUUAGGGAAGAACAAAUGUGUAAGUAACUAUGCACGUCUUGACGGUACCUAAUCAGAAAGCCACGGCUAACUACGUG